CUUCUUUUUAACUUUUCGAAUUACCCUUUUGCUUUUCGUUCAGUGUAUCGAAUUCCCAUGCUUUCCUGGGAUCUCUAUACACCUCCUUCCAGUUAGCUAACCGUGAAGUGUGUCGCUUCUGUUGUUAACAACACCUUCGACCUCUCCUCUCCCUUUCGCUCUUCCUUAACCCAUCCUUCUUCUUCUUCAUCUGAUCCUACUCCUCCUUUCCCAUCCUCUUCUUCUUCCACACACGUCACGCUGGAAUUGAAAAAAAAAAGAAUUUCCAGACAUGUGCUUGCGAUUAAGAACUUUAUUCGCUUCAUUGUUGUUGGCGAAUGAUAAGUGCUAACGUGUAUGCAUGUACGUACGUAUGUGAGUGUGUCUUCUAAUACAUUACAUAAUCGCCAAAUGAAAUUCGCCCAUUUCUUAUUUUUUUUUGGCAACAUCGGAAUGCCUAUAAAUAAAAAUCUCUAUAUUUGUGGGUUUAACGAACUUUGCUUGUUUUUGGUCCGUCCGCUUUAGAUUUUUUUUUGGUAAAUUUCCACAAGUCCGGCUUGAUUUUUUUGGGCCUUAUUCUUGUAAAUUUACAACAACAAAAACAAAUGCCACGGCGCAGAGCGAAAUAAAGAAAAAGAGCGUAAGGCGGAGAGAGUUGGUCGAGCAAGAGAGAGCGGAGAAAAAAAAAAACAGAGAAUACCAUUUUUCAUUCGUUCACGUUUCGUUUCUCAUGCGUGUCACUAGCUUAUGCUGUGUUGUUGUUGCGAAAGAAGGAAGACACACCAUCUCUCUCUCUUGCAAAAGAGAUGUGUCCGCCGAAUGACCUUAAAGCAAAAGGAGGAGCAGCAGCACGCCCACUUACCACCCACCGGCAAUGCACAUUUGCAUGUGAGCGGAUUGCAUAAUGCCAAGAACGAGAAAAAUGCCGAAAAGAAUAUUACUUGCGAUUUUGUAAUUGAAAAAUCAAUAGCACACACACACACACGUACGUAAAAAUGUACACCCACGGCGUGCACACAUACACACGAAAAAAAGGCUUGCAGGACGAGCCUCCUUUUGCUUUUUCUCGGGGGUGAUUUGCUUUCUCUUUGACCUGCGUUGGGUAAUAAAUACACAGGCAAAAAAAGAAACUAAUGUCACUGCGGCAACUUUAAUAACAAGCAAACGUUUGAAAGUGUCCUUUAGGAAUAACAGAAUAUAUAAUAAUAUAUAAUAUAUUAUAAUAACAUAUUAUGCAUACAUGAACAAUCAAAUAAAUAUAACUUCAUUUAAAAUUAAAAUCAAGAGAGACAGUAAUUACGAGUGUAAUUUUGACCCAAUUUUAUAAUUUGCUGUGCAAUCUGCGAUAAUUAUUUAAGUAUGCAGCAAUUAUUUCUUGCCGUGUAGAUUCGCCAAAUGUUAUGCACACUCCCCAAAUCUUCUUCUUCCUGUUCUGCCGCCGCUGGCCGAGAGCCAAAAAGAAAAAAUGUUAGUGCUGACGCGUUUUAUUUAAUUUUGUUUUGCUUUUCUCUGAUUUACGGGUUUUGCUUAUUUUGUCUAUAAAUAAUUCUUGUAAAUGUUACAGUAGAAAAGGUUUAAUUUGUUUUCCACUUCCAACAAUUACAUGCAAUACAUUUAUUUUAUAUGCAGCGAAUUGGCCAAUAACCCACAUAUUUCUGCCAAGUGUUUAGACCAAAGCAAAAAAAGCGCUGUUUUAUUUGCGUUUGACGUAGUUUGACGAAAUGGCAACACGCGAAAUUUUUUAUCGCCUCUCCGCUAAUACGUCACAAAUCGUGACAACUCUUACGUAACACCCACGACCCUUUUUCCUUUUGUUUUUCCAAAACAAACCAAGAGAGAGAGUGAGCGAAAGAGAGAGUGGAAAGUAAGGAGAGUGCCGUUAGAAAGCGGAAAAAGUAAACAGAUGAUCAAGCGAUUGCAUAAGAGCAAAUGCAUAAUUUAUACACAAUUUGUACAUUAGCUUUUUACGCCCGGUGCGCAUUUUUGAUUAGCGAAUCUAAAUCGGGAUUUUAUGACCAGCGGGCAAAGCUCAAGUGGACCUUUUUUCCACCUGGAUUAACGCCAAUCCAGAAUUCUAGUUAUGCGCGUGAUAACACGACGCCUUCUUAAACAGGUGUCGUCAUGGAAAGUUAGAGGGUCCCGAGAUACCAGUGAUAUUGGAACCCAAAUCAUUACUAUUUAACCAAUUUAACCACCAAAAAAAAACCCCCAUCUUGCCAUCAGAAUAAUAAAUAAUUAAUGAAUCCCAUCGUAUAUUGACACUUCGUAUCAACAGCACUAUGUUUUUGAUGUUAUCAGCUAAGCUUUAUGAUCCAAAUUUACAUAUGUAUGUACCAUGGCAUGAACUUUAUGCUGACUAACCUCUUACAAUACUAAUCCACAAACAAUCAACGUGCAUACAUACAUAUAUGUAUAUUGCAACAAUAUGUUUAAUCGCAGGCUUAUGCAACUCAGUAAAAAUGUCACCUUGUUGGGAGAAUGCAUUGCCGAACAAUACUAAAAAUGCACUGCAAAUAGAAAUCUGUAAUACUAUAUAUAUGCAUUUAUAUCUUCCUGUAUGAUUUGCAAGUUAUAUUGAGUAAAUUGGCUAAAUCAGCAUUGCGUGCCGCAUUUGAGUUAGCUUUUAGCCUUACCGCAAUGCCCUGCCCAGUCUGCCCAUAUCUCCUUAUAGCAUAUAUAGUAUAUGGUACAUGGUAUAAGCCCCCUUCAUAUCACCCCCGUCGUUUUCGGAGCGGACUGAUGAUAAUCGUGACAAAUUUGCCGCUGGGGCACAUGAUCGGUAGACGUCGCCAUAUCGCUGAUAAAGCGGACACGCAAAGCCCCCCAACCAACUGGGAAUGCGAAUGCGAAUAUAAGGUGUUAACUCAAUCAGUUUUUAUUUUGAUAAUGAUAAAAAGACGGCCAAAUAUUUGUAUACAUACUACUAUGUACGAUUUGGGCGAUUUCGCAAUGCGCAAAUUGCUCGCUUUGUAGAUACAAGAUACAAAUGUAUCCGUAUGAUUGAUGGUCAAAAAAAGUUCGAACACAGGGCUGCACAUUAAGCUAAAUGUUGAUGUUUUAAAUAGUAACUAAUUACCGAACUUGUUUCCAUUUGCCGAACAUUUACAGAAAAAAAAACAAAGAUCCUAAGAACUUGGCAACCGGAAUCUGUCUGGCCAAAGUAAUAUGCAAAUUGGAAUCUGCUUAAUUCCCAUUUAAAUGACUGAGGGGAAAAUUCCGACCCGGCAACAACAGACGGGCAUCUGAAGUUUGUUCAACUGAUCCGAUCCAAUCCAAUACGAAACAGCGAUUCUCCAGUUGACUUGAGUUGAAUUUAGUUGAGUGACGGGAUUACGUCACGCGGUACUUUCAAUGCGCUGCGAUUGUGUGAUGAUGUCCGUUUACUUUGGGCGGCAGAGACAAUAAAAUGGCACUACUACUAUUACUACUACUACUACUACAAUAGUGGAGAAUGGCAAACACGGCGCUCUAAACUUAAUUAAGACGAUUAACUCGGACUGCAAUUAUUAGACAACUGACAAGCGGUCGCUCUCUAAUAGCAGAUAUCAUUAAAGUCGAAUUGAAAACGCCACGCGAUGCAAGGCGGCCCAAGGUUCCCAAUGCCCAUACCCAUACCCCUACCGAUACCACCAUUCAUCCAUAGUGGGAUACAACCGUUUCCAUGAUCAUCAUUCAAAUGCCAAGUGUUUGAAGUACAGACUUCGCUCCAUCGUGCAUUCUGUCAGUUGCAUAACUCGCAUGGGUUUAAUUGCAUAUUUUGUGGUAUGGAGCAUUUAAAGUUUUUACUUGCGAUGCAGCUUCACUGUAGUCUGUUGUGUGAGAACACUUGAUUCCAUCGCCGCGGGGUCAACGGCGGCUCACCUCGAUGACAACUCUGCUCGCUGCUCGGCGCUCGGCGUUCGAGGCUUUCCCGGCUUUCUCAAGGUUUCCGUUUCGUUUUCGCACUUAUAUAUAUAUAUAUAUAUAUGUAUAUACAUUGCGUAACCCGAUGGAUCAGAUCAUUCGAUCGAGGUGAAAGAAGUGGAGCAAGUCUGCCGGCGCCGUCACAACACGCGAGUCCAGAACCAGAGCCAGAACGCUUCCUUGAUGACAUGGCAAAGGCGGGCCAUAGUUAGACAUGCGAUAAUUGCCGGCGCGUGAGACCUUGAAAUCCAUUCGGAACAUCCACUACUACAUAUACAUACUACUUGUACACAUGCUCGCCCAUUGUCGGGGGCUUGGGCUUAUCAGCAGAUGAACGUGCGCCUCUGGCCCAGAUAAUGGGCCCUCCAGUCGUACAUAAAUAUUCUGGCCUGGAGCCUGAGGCUCGCUUCAAGUGUCCACUCGGCCCCCACCCCCCACCCCCCUCCCGCUCGUCACUCCGGAAAAGUGAAAUAAUUGCGGAGCAUAGCGAUUAGAUAGCAGCGGUAGUACAGUGGUGCGUGGUCAUUGAUCGGCAGGUUUUUUUUAUUAUAUUUUUUUUAUUAUUUUUUUUUUUAUUUUUGUUAUGCAAGCCUUUCUCGCGUUUGACAGCUCAAUUAGCAUUAGAAACAUGAGCAUUUCACCUGCGGUUUGCCACAUUAGCUACAAAACGAUGUUUGAUAUCUUGGGUUUCCGAUUUCCCACGAUACAGAAGAAAAACAAAAUGAUGGGAAAUGGGAAUUGUAUAUCUAGUUAUUUGAGCACUAAGUACCUUUUCGCUCAGUGCAUCGCUUGUGGUAACUAAAAGCAACGGACUUGCGGUUGCUAACAAAGGACAUUGGUUUUGUAUUUUGGUACGCUGCUCGGCUAUUAUCGGUAAUUAAUAUGCACGUCGUUUUCUUUUUUUUUUGGCCAAAAUGCUUUUUAUCAAUGAACGUGAAUGGAAAACCGGUCGCCGCUUGGCGGCUCACCCAUUAAAUUGGUCCGCGAAUCAUGCAAUUCAAUUUUGCAGGCGGCGGCGCCACAAGUUCACUUGGUUAAUUGAAUUUGUUGACCCACUGGCCGCGCAGCAAGAAAAAUAAAGAAAAUCAUGGCAGAGUGGUGGGGAUAUAUGUAUACAUAGUGGGGCGGUGGAGGGCUAGUGGGGACUACGCCCGUCAAUCAAAUACAAAUCCGCACUUUGCGCCCGCCGAUCGGAAUCGGAAUUGAAAUUGGACUCGCGGCUCUGAAUCGCAUUUUCCAUUCCAUUUCGCUUCGUUUUAUUUGACAAAUGCCAACGCGUGGCUAAAGAUCACUGGGGUGUUCCAGUUUAAGAGGUUUUCCACAUUAUAAGUGUUCCAUAUAUUAAAAAAAAAAAAAAAAAAAAAAAA